rnacentral:hammerhead_ribozyme from 1 species
GCACUGCUGAAGAGUUCCAAACAGGACAGAACAGCUGUCCAGUGC